CAAAGUGUAACUUAACACAAGCAAAGCAUCCCUCUUACACAGGGAAAAUAUCAGUGCAAGCCCGAUCACUUUGA
rnacentral:tRNA from 1 species